GACGAACGCUGGCGGCGUGCUUAACACAUGCAAGUCGAACGGUGAAGCGCCUUCCUUUUUGGUGGGUGUGGAUGAGUGGCGAACGGGUGAGUAACACGUGAGUAACCUGCCCCCUUCUUCUGGAUAACCGCAUGAAAGUGUGGCUAAUACGGGAUAUUCUGGGUCUGUCGCAUGAUGGGUCUGGGAAAGAUAUUGUUUCGGUGGGGGAUGGGCUCGCGGCCUAUCAGCUUGUUGGUGGGGUGAUGGCCUACCAAGGCGGUGACGGGUAGCCGGCCUGAGAGGGUGGACGGUCACACUGGGACGGAGACACGGACCAGACUCCUACGGGAGGCAGCAGUGGGGAAUAUUGCACAAUGGGCGCAAGCCUGAUGCAGCGACGCCGCGGGAGGGAUGGAGGCCUUCGGGUUGUGAACCUCUUUCGCCAGUGAAGCAGGCCUGCCUCGUUUGUGGGUGGGUUGACGGUAGCUGGAUAAGAAGCGCCGGCUAACUACGUG
rnacentral:rRNA from 1 species